rnacentral:rRNA from 1 species
CGACCGGCGCACGGGUGAGUAACGCGUAUCCAACCUUCCCAUUACUGUGGGAUAACCUGCCGAAAGGCAGACUAAUACCGCAUAGUCUUCGAUGACGGCAUCAGAUUUGAAGUAAAGAUUUAUCGGUAAUGGAUGGGGAUGCGUCUGAUUAGCUUGUUGGCGGGGUAACGGCCCACCAAGGCGACGAUCAGUAGGGGUUCUGAGAGGAAGGUCCCCCACAUUGGAACUGAGACACGGUCCAAACUCCUACGGGAGGCAGCAGCC